ACGGAAGGCAGCAGCUAAGAAUAUUCCGCAAUGGACGAAAGUCUGACGGAGCGACGCCGCGUGGAUGAUGAAGGUCGGAAGAUUGUAAAAUCCUUUUAUGACUGAGGAAUAAGCAGUGUGAGAGAAACGCAUUGUGGUGACUGUAGGUCAUGAAUAAGCAACGGCUAAUUACGUGCCAGCAGCCGCGGUAACACGUAAGUUGCGAGCGUUGUUCGGAAUUAUUGGGCGUAAAGGGCAUGUAGGCGGUUUUGCAAGCUUGGUGUGAAAUCUCGGAGCUCAACUCCGAAAUUGCGUUGAGAACUGCAUGACUAGAGUCACUGAGGGGCAAUCAGAAUUCCAGGUGUAGGGGUGAAAUCUGUAGAUAUCUGGAAGAAUACCAAUGGCGAAGGCAGGUUACCAGCAGAUGACUGACGCUGAGGUGCGAAGGUGCGGGGAGCAAACAGGAUUAGAUACCCUGGUA
rnacentral:rRNA from 1 species